CACGUAGUUAGCCGGGGCUUUCUUCUCAGGUACCGUCACUCCGGGUGCAGUUACUCACCCGGACGUUCUUCCCUGGCAACAGAGCUUUACGAUCCGAAAACCUUCAUCACUCACGCGGCAUUGCUCCAUCAGGCUUUCGCCCAUUGUGGAAGAUUCCCUAUUGCUGCCUCCCGUAGGAGUCUGGGCCGUGUCUCAGUCCCAGUGUGGCCGUUCACCCUCUCAGGUCGGCUACGCAUCGUCGCCUUGGUGAGCCGUUACCCCACCAACUAGCUAAUGCGCCGCAGGCCCAUCUCUCAGUGACAGCUUGCGCCGUCUUUCCUCAUCCUCCGAUGCCGAAAGAUGAUGUAUUCGGUAUUAGUAUCCGUUUCCGGAAGUUAUCCCAAACUGAAAGGCAGGUUGCCUACGUGUUACUCACCCGUCGCCGCUAACCAUCGAAGAAGCAAGCUUCUCUCAAGUCCGCUCGACUUGCAUGUAUUAGGCAUGCCGCCAGCGUUCGUCC
rnacentral:rRNA from 1 species